rnacentral:rRNA from 1 species
AUUGAACGCUGGCGGCAGGCCUAACACAUGCAAGUCGAGCGGGGCGGUGGACGGGUGAGUAAUGCCUAGGAAUCUACCUGGAAGUGGGGGAUAACGUCCGGAAACGGGCGAUAAUACCGCAAACUAUAAGAUAAGACUAGGUCGGAUUAGCUAGUUGGUGGGGUAAAGGCCUACCAAGGCGACGAUCCGUAACUGGUCUGAGAGGAUGAUCAGUCACCCUGGAACUUAGACACGGUCCAUACUCCUACGGGAGGCAGCAGUGGGGAAUAUUGGACAAUGGGCGAAAGCCUGAUCCAGCCAUGCCGCGUGUGUGAAGAAGGUUUUCGGAUUGUAAAGCACUUUAAGUUGGGAGGCGUUACCAACAGAAUAAGCACCGGCUAACUUCGUGCCAGCAGCCGCGGUAAUAC